GCAGACCCCACAAAGCCGCGGCUGCGGGCUUCCCACGCCCGCCGGCCCGGCUCGCUCACCAUAGGACAGACUGCCCGACUUAUUCUUGCAAUAGCCACAGUGGAACAAGGACCGGUCCUCAAAAUACUCUACGAGGCUGGGAGAAGGCGCGCUCCAGGAAGCCAUGGCCUCGGCCCCCGCCGGCUCAGCGACACCCAGACCCACGCAGGCGCAGCAGCCGUCGCCGCCGUCGCCGCCGCCGCCUCCUCCACCACCCCACAAUGCCGUGCGCGCGCCUCGGCACAUCGCGCGAAGCCGCUUGAACGCUCGCGGGCGGGCAAGACCUGGCAACCUGCGUGACUGACGCCGCCCGCGCCAUAUUGACUGAGGGCAGCUGUCCGCUAUUUCCGUUCCUCCUCCGUGAGGGGCGGCUAUCGUCGGAGACGCUGAGGUUUAACUCUUGCCAGGCUGUUCCCAGAGAAGCUCUGAUUUGAAUAAAAGCAAGCACGUGUGGAUUGACUAAAAAGGGGGAGCACACCAUGCCCUGCACAGGAGAUUGGCCUGGGCUAAGUGUUCUGAAGACCCUCGGAUUGCAGUAGGUUCCUAUUCCCCACUAGAAAAGAAAAUAAAGCGUUUAGGUGGCACCCAUUCUUCACGAGCGAGAAAACUGUUAGUCCAAGAGCUCCAGCAGGAGAGUGAAGCAGUUGAUAAGCUUAAGACCAUGUCUUUUGAUUUACGGUUUGCUAAAGCAGAUGCCUACUACUAUCAACAACAUCAAGAAAUGAUCAAAGAAGCAUGGAAUUAUAUACCAGAUUCAGAAUGGGACAUUAACCCAGAGGAAGAGAAGAAGUCAAGAAGAAAAAUACCAGACAGUGAAAAAAAAUGGGACUAUCUAGUAUGUGAGAGAGAAAUAAAUCACAUAGAAAAACACAUACACAGAGCUGAGCGUGCUAGAGGCCUCAGAGAUGACAAAUACAGACUACUUCCUGAGAGAAUCCCAAGUGAAACACUUUGCCUAAAACCAUUAAUACAAGAAGAUGAAAAGAGUAAAAAUAUCCAGAAAACAUGCAAAGCUGUACCCCAAAAGCCCAAAGUAGCAUGGGCAAAGGAGCAGAUGAAGCGACAUAAAGACCGAAUGAUUCGAGCAAGAGAACUCACCGAACAGAAGAAUGAUCAAAAGAAGACUCAAAAAUUCACCAGCCACGGUCAUCCUCUCUUCAAAUCACGAGUGAAGAAGGAGGAAAAGAAAGAGUUUGAACAGAUCACAGCUUAUCCUAUCUUCCAGCCUUCCCAGGAAAAACUUAUAGAGGUGACUAUUCUGAUGGAAAAGUCGAAAGUGGAUAAAGUGCAAAAACCACUCCAAAGAGAGCUCUUGAGUAUGCCACCAUUUUUGAAAAGUCAACUAGAAAAAAAAAAGCUUAAAUUAUUUCCUUGAUUAUUGUAUUUCUUUCUUAGAAUAUUUUAUAGUAAUUACUACAAUGAAAUCAUGGAAAACGGACAUCUAAGGGGAACGGCAGCUCUAGACAUACAUACUUGAAAAAAGCACGGUAUUGAGGCCACAGAUUGUUCAAUUCCAUUCUUACAGUACUCACUGGUCAGGGCUAAGGAGUCAGAACAUUAAAUGAGGACAGAAUGGCAGCUAAUGGCGUAGGAUUGGGGGAGGGGUGCUCUAUACUAUUUUUUGUUGAUGGUUGCAUGUCACAAUGAUGUUAAGGCACUGAAUCAUACCCUAAUUGGAUGAGUUGGAUUGUGGAUGAACUCUCAGCAAAGCUGUUCGAAAGGAAAAGAUUUCUAGUGUUUAGAGAAGAGGAAUGAAUCCUGAAAAUGUAGACAAAAGGCUGACCAUCCUGCAAGGUUAUAAACUAAAUUAGAGUUUACAAUUUUAAAAUCCAGAAGGCAGGGUAGGGAGACAUUUCAGCAGGCUAAAGUACUUUUUAUGCAAGCCUGCCGACCUGAAUUCAGAUCCCCAGAACUUAUGUCAAAACCAGACAUGGGUGCACAUGUCUAAUCCCAGUACUCUUAUAGCAAGAUAGAAGGUGGAAACGAAGUCCCCAGAAACUCAUGGACAGUAAGUAGUGCACAGUGCAGCAGCAAACAAAAGAAACCCUGCCUCAAACAAGGUGGCUGGAGAGGACUGGAACCCAACGUUACCUUCUAACCACCAGAUGUGUACUGCGUGCAGUACACACGUGCCCUUAACACAUACAUGCCUCAUAUACACACAUACACAAAAAUAAAUAAAAUCUUGAAGGCAGCGAUAAUCACUAGGAAUUGGCAAGAGGUUUGAACAGACAAAACUGGGUAUUUCAUAGAUGUCUGAGCAGAGCCUGAGCAAGAUGGACAAAAAGACUACAAGGGAAGUAGUGACUGGUUGAGGGGGAGGGGGGGAGUUUACAGAAUGAACUUGCCUGUGAAACAUGGUAAAAAUAUUGGUACAGAGAUUUGAAGAUCUGAGAAAUUGUUUAUUACAUGUUUUUAAAUGGCCAAUAAUCACUUAACAUAGCUCUAGCCUCUUUAAACACAAAGUUUUGAGACUCUUCU